GGGAGAUCAUCCCAUACCAGAGAGAAAGCAAGCAGAUGGAGUGGUGCUACGCUGCCUUUCCUGUGAAGGUCCAGGAACACUUGGAUGCAGUUUUCCUCACUGUCAACACGUGCUCCCUCCACAGAGCCAUCUUGUUCCUUCCAGUUCUAGCCACUGCCUCCCAAAAUGAGACCCUCCCCCAAGGAGGGCUGUGAAUGACCCAGAGCUCUGUGAUGGUCUCUCUGCCCUCCUUUCUAUAGACAGAGACUCUGAUGCCUCAGCCACUGACCCCACGGGGACUUGACAGGGACCCUCACCACAAGCAGUCUCUUUGGACUCCAGGGAAGAACGAUGGCUGCUUGGUUUUAAUCACAGCUGCUAUUUCUUCAGUGCCAACCAUGUACAGGGUUCCUCGUCUCUCCUAGACAUGGCCCUGCAAUUCCACGAGACCCGUGCAAUAACGACAACCACACUGUGGGCUGGGAAGCCCAGAGACAGCAUGCUGACUCCCCCAGGUCACACAGCCAGCAAGUGGUCUUGGACCCCAGCACAACACACUUUUCUUACCAUACUCUGCUACCACUGAUCCUCACACAGCUCACCAUGGUCACAUCCCAGGUCCCCAGGGUCACUGCUCUCUAUGCAUGGCCCCAGCCUAGCUGCUAUCAGAGCCAGAGGGAGUGCCUGCCUAGACCCCACUCUAACAAUCUCCUGCCCCCACCUCCACCGGCCUGAGCUGUCCGUGGCCAUAGCUCUCAACCGGGGGUAUCUGGCUGAUUUCACCGGACUGCGCUUUCCUCUGGUCAAUGUUGGGGGUCAGAAAUGUUGGGGGUCAGAAAGGGAUGGGGCCAGGGCCCCGCUAGCCCCCAGUGUUGUGACCAAGAAAAUCUCACCAGCUGCAUCCAGUGGCAACCUUGACCCUGUGGGUUACUCCGAUGUCUUUGUAGGAGUAUUUUUAGCUGAAUCUUUUUUUUUUUCAAAAUAAAUGUGAAUUGUAAAAAUAAA
rnacentral:lncRNA from 1 species